rnacentral:rRNA from 1 species
UACAGAGGUGGCAAGCGUUGUUCGGAAUUACUGGACGUAAAGGGCGCGUAGGCGGCCAUCUAAGUCAGACGUGAAAUCCCCCGGCUUAACCUGGGAACUGCGUCUGAUACUGGAUGGCUUGAGUUCGGGAGAGGGAUGCGGAAUUCCAGGUGUAGCGGUGAAAUGCGUAGAUAUCUGGAGGAACACCGGUGGCGAAGGCGGCAUCCUGGACCGAUACUGACGCUGAGGAGCGAAAGCCAGGGGAGCAAACGGG